rnacentral:rRNA from 1 species
UAAAACAGUUAUAGUUUAUUUGAUAAUGGAAAAUUACAUGGAUAACCGUGGUAAUUCUAGAGCUAAUACAUGCUAUAAGCCUAACUUUACGGAAAGGCUGUAUUUAUUAGAUACUAAACCAAAUCGAGAGAUUUGUGAUGAAUCACAGUAACUGAUCGAAUCGGCGCGCAAGCGGCGAUAAAUCAUUCAAGUUUCUGCCCUAUCAGCUUUCGAUGGUAGUGUAUUGGACUACCAUGGCAGUCACGGGUAACGGAGAAUUAGGGUUCGGUUCCGGAGAGGGAGCCUGAGAAACGGCUACCACAUCUAAGGAAGGCAGCAGGCGCGUAAAUUACCCAAUCCUGAUUCAGGGAGGUAGUGACAAGAAAUAACAACCUGGGAGCAUCACGCUCUACGGGAUUGCAAUGAGAACAAUUUAGAUCACUUAGCGAGGAACAAUUGGAGGGCAAGUCUGGUGCCAGCAGCCGCGGUAAUUCCAGCUCCAAUAGCGUAUAUUAAAGUUGUUGCAGUUAAAAAGCUCGUAGUUGAAUGUCUGGCUAUUGGCUGUUUCGGCUUCGGUCGAGCAAUCAGUGGUCAUCCGCAUACAAUACUAGUUAGGCCUUUACUGGUUCUGCUAGGGUAGUGUGCAAUUUACUUUGAAGAAAUUAGAGUGUUUCAGGCAGGCAAUGGCUUGAAUACAUUAGCAUGGAAUAAUGGAAUAGGACUAUUGUCAAUUUAAUUGGUUAUUUGACUUUAGUAAUGAUUAAUAGGGACAGUUGGGGGCAUUAGUAUUUAAUUGUCAGAGGUGAAAUUCUUGGAUUUAUUAAAGACUAACUUAUGCGAAAGCAUUUGCCAAGGAUGUUUUCAUUAAUCAAGAACGAAAGUUAGGGGAUCAAAGACGAUCAGAUACCGUCCUAGUCUUAACUAUAAACUAUACCGACUCGGGAUCGGGUGGGAUGUUUAAGCCUGCUCGGCACCGUAAGAGAAAUCAAAGUCUUUGGGUUCUGGGGGGAGUAUGGUCGCAAGGCUGAAACUUAAAGGAAUUGACGGAAGGGCACCACCAGGAGUGGAGCCUGCGGCUUAAUUUGACUCAACACGGGGAAACUUACCAGGUCAAAACAUGGGUGGGAUUGACAGAUUGAGAGCUCUUUCUUGAUUCUGUGGGUGGUGGUGCAUGGCCGUUCUUAGUUGGUGGAGUGAUUUGUCUGGUUAAUUCCGUUAACGAACGAGACCUUAACCUGCUAACUAGUGAUCCUAUGAACAAUGGGAAACACUUCUUAGAGGGACUUCAUGUAUCAAGCAUGAGGAAGUUUGAGGCAAUAACAGGUCUGUGAUGCCCUUAGAUGUCCUGGGCCGCACGCGCGCUACAAUGACACGUGCAACGAGUAUACCCUGGUCCGAGAGGGUUCGGGUAAACUUCAUAAUGCGUGUCGCGAUAGGGAUCGACCCUUGGAAUUAUGGGUCUUGAACGAGGAAUUCCUAGUAAGUGCAAGUCAUCAGCUUGUACUGAUUACGUCCCUGCCCUUUGUACACACCGCCCGUCGCUCCUACCGAUUCGAGUGAUCCGGUGAACCUUCUGGACUAGUCAGACCCCGAGAAUGGCU